rnacentral:rRNA from 1 species
AUUGAACGCUGGCGGCGUGCCUAACACAUGCAAGUCGAGCGGUAACAGGUGUAGCAAUACAUGCUGACGAGCGGCGAACGGGUGAGUAAUGCUUCGGAAUCUGCCCAAUGGUGGGGAAUAACCAGCCGAAAGGUUGGCUAAUACCGCAUAAGUCCUACGGGAGAAAGCAGGGGAUCGCAAGACCUUGCGCCGAUGGAUGAGCCGAAGUCGGAUUAGCUAGUUGGUAGGGUAACGGCCUACCAAGGCGACGAUCCGUAGCUGGUCUGAGAGGACGACCAGCCACACUGGUACUGAGACACGGCCCAGACUCCUACGGGAGGCAGCAGUGGGGAAUAUUGGACAAUGGGGGGAACCCUGAUCCAGCCAUGCCGCGUGUGUGAAGAAGGCCUUAUGGUUGUAAAGCACUUUAAGCGAGGAGGAGGCUCUUUUGGUUAAUACCCAAGAUGAGUGGACGUUACUCGCAGAAUAAGCACCGGCUAACUCUGUGCCAGCAGCCGCGGUAAAAC